GAUGAACGCUGGCGGCGUGCCUAAUACAUGCAAGUCGAGCGAACAGAUGAGGAGCUUGCUCCUCUGACGUUAGCGGCGGACGGGUGAGUAACACGUGGAUAACCUACCUAUAAGACUGGGAUAACUUCGGGAAACCGGAGCUAAUACCGGAUAAUAUAUUGAACCGCAUGGUUCAAUAGUGAAAGACGGUUUUGCUGUCACUUAUAGAUGGAUCCGCGCCGCAUUAGCUAGUUGGUAAGGUAACGGCUUACCAAGGCAACGAUGCGUAGCCGACCUGAGAGGGUGAUCGGCCACACUGGAACUGAGACACGGUCCAGACUCCUACGGGAGGCAGCAGUAGGGAAUCUUCCGCAAUGGGCGAAAGCCUGACGGAGCAACGCCGCGUGAGUGAUGAAGGUCUUCGGAUCGUAAAACUCUGUUAUUAGGGAAGAACAAAUGUGUAAGUAACUAUGCACGUCUUGGCGGUAUCUAAUCAGAAAGCCACGGCUAACUACGUG
rnacentral:rRNA from 1 species